AUAGUGUCGGAGUAAGAUAGCCUAGCUAUUGCCUCCCCCUCAAAGCUAACUCCGAACCUCCUAAAUACUAAAGUGAGAGCCAUACCAAAAGGCAAGUGUGCCUUGGACCUAUUCAAGGUCUCUCUCAUAGCCUCAAACAUUAAUGCCGGGAGGUUCAGGGGGGUUUGAGUAAUUAAAUGAUACAUAAUGCAUAUGUCCC
rnacentral:lncRNA from 1 species